CCACUCGACGAUGAAGAUAUGGUGUCGUACAUACUCGCCGGGCUUGACGCUGACUUUGAGCCGAUUGUGUCGGCUUUAGCAGCCCGGGUGGAGCCGGUCAGUGUGGCCGAGCUCUACUCACAGAUGCUGGGGUUUGAAG